UGGAAUUUCACUAAAAAAAAAUCUUAUUUCUCAAAUAUUAAAUGACACAAAUUUGAAUAUAAAAAAUAAUUGUGAAGGAGAACACAUGAUCAAGAAUAUGUUACAUGGUAAAAGGAUUCUUCUUGUUCUUGAUGAUGUAAAUGAUUUAAACCAAUUACAAAAGUUAGCUAGGAAGCGUGAUUGGUUUGGUCGGGGUAGUAGAAUUAUCAUAACAA